rnacentral:rRNA from 1 species
AGUGAACGCCGGCGGUAGGCCUAACACAUGCAAGUCGAACGGCAGCACAGUAAGAGCUUGCUCUUACGGGUGGCGAGUGGCGGACGGGUGAGGAAUACAUCGGAAUCUACUUUUUCGUGGGGGAUAACGUAGGGAAACUUACGCUAAUACCGCAUACGACCUACGGGUGAAAGCAGGGGAUCUUCGGACCUUGCGCGAUUGAAUGAGCCGAUGUCGGAUUAGCUAGUUGGCGGGGUAAAGGCCCACCAAGGCGACGAUCCGUAGCUGGUCUGAGAGGAUGAUCAGCCACACUGGAACUGAGACACGGUCCAGACUCCUACGGGAGGCAGCAGUGGGGAAUAUUGGACAAUGGGCGCAAGCCUGAUCCAGCCAGACCGCGUGGGUGAAGAAGGCCUUCGGGUUGUAAAGCCCUUUUGUUGGGAAAGAAAAGCAGCAGGUUAAUACCCCGCUGUUCUGACGGUACCCAAAGAAUAAGCACCGGCUAACUUCGUG